GGAGGCUGGAGAGUGCCAGGAUGCUGUCGAAAGAGGAGUCUGACAGACACAGACAGGUGCUGAAGGCCCAGCUUCAGAGUUAGGGCUGAGGAGGUAUCGUCUGUGGCGUUUCCUGUGCUGUCUCCCUGUGCUGUCUCCUGUUCUCCCCCCUCGCCCUGACCCGUGGAGAGGUGGCGUCCUCACGGGACUUAACUUCCAAUUUCUUCCCACCUCGCUGUCCUCAGCUCAGGAGCUCCGCACGAGAAACAAAGCAGGUAGCACCAGGGUUCACCACUGGAACAUAUUAUAGCAAUAUCUUACUGUUUACUUAAUGGUUUGUUGAGAUCGGUGUGGAAGAACUUGACUGGCCUGCACAGAGCCCUGACCUCAUCCCCAUCAAACACCUUUGGGAUGAAUCGGAACACUGACUGCGAGCCAGGCCUAAUCACCCAACAUCAGUGCCCAACCUUACUAAUGCUCGUGGCUGAAUGGAAGCAAGUCCCUGCAGCAAUGUUCCAACAUCAAGUGGAAAUCCUUCCCAGAAAAGUGGAGGCUGAAAGCGGGGGACAAACUCAUAUUAGUUUUGAUUUUGGAAUGAGAUGUUCGAUGAGCAGGUGUCCACAUACCUUUGGCCAUGUAGUGUAUCUGCUGUGGAUGGGAGAUAUCAGAGAUGACACAGCCCUAUGUGCGCCCAGCAUGCUUUGCUUCCUGAACACAUUGUAACCAUGCCUUGGAAGAGGAGAGUGGGGCAGUGGGAGCAAACAACUCCAGCACUGCAGGAAUGCUGUUAAGAGUAUUUGUUAUUGUUGCUGACCAGUGGCAUUGCAUUUCAUUAUACAAGAUGCAUCAAAGGUUGUCUGUGUCUGGUGCAGUAGAUUCACUGAUCCAUAGUUGAUGUGGGAGUGUUUGCAAAUUCAGGCAUGUUUCCACCCAUGAAUGUGAAGCAUCUUAAGACCUCAGUGCUGAAUCAGUGCCAACCAACAGAGGGUACAGUACAUACAGUAUGCCAUCUGUCUGCCCAUACCAAAUGUUCCUCCUGACCCCAAUUUUUUGCAUUUAUUCCCAUACCUUUACUGUGGCUCCUGUUUAGAAUGACUGCUAGGCAUUUCAUCACAUUAAUUACCUAUUUAUUUCUUGUUUUUGACAUUUUAGUUGCAGCCCUCCCAUAUAUGCAACAUGUGUAGUACCUUAUUUUGUUGGAAUUAACUUGUGAUAUGCAAAGAAAAGGAAAGUAAAAUGUCUAUAGUAUGUACAAGCUGGACGCUUAAACGUUGUUG
ensembl:lncRNA